rnacentral:rRNA from 1 species
UAGGGAAUUUUCCGCAAUGGGCGAAAGCCUGACGGAGCAACGCCGCGUGCAGGAGGAAGGCCUUCGGGUUGUAAACUGCUUUUAUCUGUGACGAUUUUGACGGUAGCAGAUGAAUAAGGAUCGGCUAACUCCGUGCCAGCAGCCGCGGUCAUACGGAGGAUCCAAGCGUUAUCCGGAAUUACUGGGCGUAAAGAGUUGCGUAGGUGGCAUAGCAAGCAAGCAGUGAAAUAUCACGGCUCAACCGUGGGUACAUUGUUUGAACUGCUAAGCUAGAGCACGAGAGAGGUACCUGGAAUUCCCAGUGUAGGAGUGAAAUCCGUAGAUAUUGGGAGGAACACCGAUGGCGUAGGCAGGGUACUGGCUUGUUGCUGACACUAAGGCACGAAAGCGUGGGGAGCGAACGGGAUUAGAUACCCCGGUAGUCC